AUUUUUAGCAUUUUUUUUAAGAGAGAAAAUCUUUCACAGAAAGCGAGAGACUUUGAUAUUUAAACCAUGGAAGCCAUUCAAGCCAAACCCAAUGCACCCUCUGUCCAGAGAGAGAGAGAUAGAAAGAGGAAAAUGGUAGAUUCAAGCGAUUCUGUCUCCAUCGACAUGGAAACUCUCUCUCUUGGUGGAAAGGAGUUCCUUAUAAAAACUUGCCAUGGUUGUGUAUCUGUUUCUGUAUAUGGAGACCAGGACAAGCCAGCUCUUAUUACUUAUCCUGAUUUAGCUCUAAAUCAUAUAUCCUGUUUCCAAGGAUUAUUCUUUUGUUCGGAAGCAUGUUCUUUGCUCCUCCACAACUUUUGCAUAUACCAUAUUAGUCCUCCCGGGCAUGAGGUUUGUAGAUUGUCUGCUUCACUGUAAAUUUUACUUAUAUACCAUAAAUGUAAUAUGUUUUAAAUUUUUUUAGUACAAUUGGCUUUGAUUGGGGCUCGAACUCGAGACCUCAUAACCCAGAAGACGACUUUAGUACCACUGAGCUAAAGCUCAUUGUUUUUUUUUUUAAAUAUCUGCACUGAAAUUAUCAUCAUUGUUGAAUUCUAUGAUUUUACUGUGUUUCUUAUCUGGCACUUCCUUCAAGAACUGUUGCAGUUAGGAGCUGCGACAAGUAGCCCUGAUGACCCUGUUCUUUCUGUUGAUGACUUGGCAGACCAAAUUGCGGAGAUUCUCAACUAUUUUGGGUAAUCAUGUUAUUUCCACAGACUUGAAAUUUCUCUUUCAAAUGUUGCCUGAUUACAGGGUUGCUGUACAGCAUCUAUCUUCUGCUUUGGACAUAUUGUAUGAUGAUAUUUCUCUUUUCUAUUGCUCAGUGAUGCUUCUGGCUAGUUUUCUAAAAUAUAUGUGACCAUACACAUUAACUAUACACAAAAGGCUUUAAGCUGUCUUUUCGUUUUGUAAAUAAUCAUCAUUACCAUUACUGAUUGUUUAUUUGCUUAUUUGAAUAAGAAUAAAUAAACUGAUGUGUUUGUUUCGUUUUUUCUUCCUUUCCAGACUUGGGUCAGUGAUGUGUAUGGGUGUCACAGCUGGAGCUUACAUUCUUACUCUAUUUGCUAUGAAAUAUAGGCAACGUGUUCUUGGUUUGAUACUUAUUUCUCCCCUGUGCCAAGCACCCUCAUGGACAGAGUGGUUGUGUAAUAAGGUUCCUUACCUGCACCUUUUUGUGAUUAGUUGAGAGUGACAUAAUCCCAUUCUUACACAUAAUGAUAAAUUAUUUGCAGGUGAUUUGUAACUUACUGUACUACUAUGGCAUGUGUGGAGUGGUGAAAGAGUUGUUACUGAAGCGGUAUUUCAGCAAGGUAUGCAUCUAGUUUUUCGAUAGAUUAUGUGAAUCCAGCGUUGGAUUGGUUAAAUAAUUGGGUUCUAAUUGGUAAUAGCAGGAAGCUCGUGGUAGUGCUCAAGUACCAGAAUCAGAUAUUGUCCAAGCCUGCAGAAGAGUUAGCCCUUUGGCCUUAUUUUUUCUUUUAUUUAUUUUCUCCCUCUUAUUUAUGCUAAAUGCUUGUAAACCAGAACAUUAAAUCAACUUAUAAUCAGCAUUCUGGAAGCUAUUACUUCGCCAACUUGAUGGUAUUUGUGUCUUCAUUUGUUAGUUGCUGGAUGAAAGGCAGAGUUUAAAUGUUUGGCGGUUUCUUGAAGCAUUAAAUGGGUAGGUGCUGAUUUUAAAUAGUUUUUCUUACACAUGUAAAUAAUGCAAAUCUGUGGUGUGCUUGUUGGCAAUUGUUUUCCCUGACACAUGUCACUGUUUUGUGUCUGCUUUACCUGCAAAGAGUUGCCACAUGUUCUAAAUUAAUGUGAGCCUUGUGGUACGUGCUUUAGCUUUUUGAUAUGACAUUGUUAUAUUUUGCUUGUGUCUUGCAGGAGACCGGACAUUAGUGAAGGACUGAGAAAGUUACAUUGUCGUUCUCUGAUAUUUGUCGGGGAGAACUCUCCAUUUCACUCUGAGGCUUUGCACAUGACAUCAAAACUAGAUAGAAGAUACAGUGCCUUAGUUGAGGUUCAGGCAUGUGGAUCCAUGGUGACAGAGGAGCAGCCCCAUGCCAUGUUAAUACCAAUGGAGUACUUUCUAAUGGGAUACGGUAUGUAUAGACCACCUAAAUUAAGUGUCAGCCCAAGAAGCCCUUUGAGUCCAUUGUGCAUUUCCCCUGAGCUCCUAUCACCGGAAAGCAUGGGCUUGAAGUUGAAGCCAAUAAAAACUCGAACACAUGUGGAGGUCUGAAAGAAUAUGGAUGGAUGGCAAGAAUACUUUUUGUUAUCUAUUUAUUGUAUUUUCUUUGAUAGCUUGGGGAAGAUAAAUGUGGGAGGAUUUGUAGAAGAUUGUAGAUAAAGAUUAGAAGAGGAAAAAAAAAAAAUUAAAGGGGAAAUAUAUUAGAAAGAAAGCUGAGGUUUCCAUUCUUUGAUUUGUAAUCACAUGUGUUAGUUGAGGUUGAGGAGUAUUCAGUUAGUUGUAAAUCCCUGAAAUAAUUUUUCACAGUUAUAAGCAAUAAUAAUAGCAAUAAAUGGUGGACGUUGAACUCAUGCUUUCUCAAGUUGGCUUCCACGUCAAUUAAUUUGAUUGUCUUUUCUUUGUUCA
rnacentral:misc_RNA from 1 species